UACGCAGGGGGCUAGCGUUGCUCGGACUUACUGGGCGUAAAGCGCACGUAGGCGGUCUUUUAAGUCGGGGGUGAAAUCCUGGAGCUCAACUCCAGAACUGCCUUCGAUACUGGAAGACUUGAGUCCGGGAGAGGUGAGUGGAACUGCGAGUGUAGAGGUGAAAUUCGUAGAUAUUCGCAAGAACACCAGUGGCGAAGGCGGCGCACUGGCCCGGUACUGACGCUGAGGUGCGAAAGCGUGGGGAGCAAACAGG
rnacentral:rRNA from 1 species